CUUAAGUACGCGCACUAAGUUUGUCCACGGUCGACUCCCGUUGGCUCGCAGGCCGGCCGGGGCGGGGAGAAGAGGGUGGGACCGAGGCUGGACUCUGUGGCCGCGGUGCCAGGGUGACGGGUAGCGCCGUAGCCGAGGUGGCGGCGCGGGGAGGGGUGGACGGAAAGAGGAGGAAGGAAGCAGUGGUGCAGGAUGGCGGCAACGACCUACGAGCGGCUGAAGCUGCAUACCACACCUGAAAAAUUUUAUGUGGAAGCUUGCGAUGAUGGAGCAGAUGAUGUACUUAUCAUCGACCGUGUGUCCACAGAAGUUACCCUCUCAGUCAAGAAAGAUAUUCCUCCUUCGGCCGUCACAAGACCAAUAUUUGGUAUACUGGGCACAAUCCAUCUGGUGGCAGGUAAUUAUCUGAUUGUCAUUACCAAAAAGAAAAAAAUAGGUGAAUUUUUCAAUCAUGUAAUCUGGAAAGCGACAGAUUUUGAUGUCCUUUCUUAUAAGAAGACAAUGUUGCAUUUAACUGAUAUUCAGUUACAAGAUAAUAAAACUUUCCUAGCAAUGAUAAACCAUGUCUUGAGUGUGGACGGGUUUUACUUUUCAACGACGUAUGAUUUGACCCAUACUUUGCAGCGGCUGUCCAACACUAGUCCAGAAUUCCAGGAAAUGAGUCUCUUGGAAAGGGCAGACCAACGGUUUGUAUGGAAUGGUCAUCUUCUAAGAGAACUUUCUGCUCAGCCAGAGGUCCAUCGGUUUGCUCUUCCAGUAUUACAUGGCUUUAUUACUAUGCACUCAUGUUCUAUUAAUGGAAAAUACUUUGAUUGGAUUCUCAUCUCGAGGAGGAGUUGUUUCAGAGCUGGUGUGCGCUAUUAUGUAAGAGGAAUUGAUUCUGAAGGCCAUGCAGCUAAUUUUGUAGAAACAGAACAAAUUGUGCACUACAAUGGGAGCAGGGCUUCAUUUGUGCAGACUCGAGGAUCAAUACCACUUUACUGGUCUCAAAGACCAAACCUGAAGUAUAAACCACGACCACUGAUCAACAAAGUAGCAAAUCAUAUGGAUGGUUUCCAAAGGCAUUUUGAUUCACAAGUAAUUAUUUAUGGAAGACAAAUCAUAAUCAAUCUGGUUAACCAAAAGGGCUCAGAGAAGCCACUUGAACAGGCGUUUGCAACAAUGGUGUCUUCCUUGGCAAGUGGGAUGAUCAGGUACAUUGCCUUUGAUUUCCAUAAGGAAUGUAAAAAUAUGAGAUGGGACCGACUAAGUAUUUUAGUGGAUCAAGUAGCAGAAAUGCAAGAUGAAUUAAGUUAUUUUCUAGUGGACCCUGCGGGCAAGGUGUUGACUAACCAGGAAGGCGUCUUCCGCAGCAAUUGCAUGGAUUGUCUAGACAGAACCAACGUCAUCCAGAGUCUUCUAGCUCGCCGUUCGCUUCAGGCCCAGCUUCAGAGACUAGGAGUUUUGCAUGUGGGACAGAAGCUUGAAGAACAAGAUGAAUUUGAGAAGAUUUACAAAAAUGCCUGGGCUGACAAUGCAAAUGCUUGUGCCAAACAGUAUGCAGGAACUGGUGCCUUGAAGACUGAUUUUACCAGAACUGGGAAGAGAACUCAGUUGGGGCUUAUAAUGGAUGGCUGGAACUCGCUAAUUCGGUAUUACAAGAACAACUUUUCUGAUGGAUUUAGACAAGAUUCCAUAGACUUAUUUCUUGGGAACUAUUCAGUGGAUGAAUUAGACUCUCAUAGUCCUUUAAGUGUUCCAAGGGAUUUGAAAUUCCUGGCUUUGCCUAUUAUCAUGGUUGUUGCCUUUUCCAUGUGCAUUAUCUGUUUGCUUAUGGCUGAUGACGCUGAACGAGGUCCCUCCUUGGUACUCUGCUGACAGAGGGGCUCGUCUCUCUGGUCCACAUCGGUCUGGUGCUGAGUGGGGCUGGUGGAAGGUGGACUCAGCUGGUCCUGGGAGCUGAAGCAGCUGUCUGGCUUUGCAGCACAGCAACCUCACGGUGGUAGAACUUCAUACCUGGUGCCUCAGGGAGGUUCAAAAUCUGAGAGCCAUAAAGUCCAGGGACCAGCGCUGUCCCCAGCACCCACCCAGGGACUGGAUUGUAUUCUACUCCCAAAAGGCUGAUCUCUAUAGGUGGGUAACAGUCAAGAGGGCCUGUGAUUCACAGGGAUAACUUUGCCUGCUUACUGCAGUUAAAAGAUGAGACGUUUGCCUGAUGGAUUAAUGCUGCGUCCCAAACAGGGUGUUCUCAGGUACAAGAUGCUCUAAGAUAAAUACUUACGUACAGAUAAAUAAUUUAAAACAGAUGGUAAGUCAUGUUCAAGGUCUUUCCUAUAAAGAGUUGGUCAUCAUGUCCAAAUACAACCUUAAGUCUGUAGGAAAGUAGCUUCACAUUCAUAGUGGCCCUGGCAGCACUUCAGUGCACUCAGACACCAGGGCCAGGCUAUCUGCAUCUUCCCCUCAUGGAACCACGGCUGAAGAGGGCUUGGGAUUGCAAACUAAGGGAGGACUUGUCCUGGACCUUCUCUGUCAGCCCCAUACAGAGGCCACCUUUCUUUAUGGCCAAGCAAUCCUGUUAGCAAAGGAAAACACAGUACUUGUAUAUUUACUGUGACUAUAAAAAGAAUUCAUUUUGCACUGAUACCAUUCAUAUUUGUCAUCUCUGGCACUUAAACUCCUUUUCAAACUGCUCUAAAAAUGAAUGCCCUCUAAUGUUUUGGGGUCUCUUCAGAAAGAAAAAAAAAAUUGCUUAAAUUUUAUUCUGCUCACAGUGAGCCCUAAUGACAGAGCUUUCCUAGUAUCAAGCAAUUGUCAUCAAGACUGGCCUUGAGAACCCUGCCUCCUUAGUGACCAUGAGGGCAGCACAGUACAACCCCCCAGGGGUAGGCGGAGGGAAGGAGGGGCUGCUUGGUGAGCUGGCUGGGGAUGCUCCCCAGGGAGUCUUCUUUUUUACACCUUCCUCCUCCUCUACUGACUCACGAAGAUGAAGACUGAGUGCCUCUGGAGACCUGAUCUCAAAGAGCAGCCGAGAGGCCCCACCUGUACGGAGUGGCAGUGAAACAGGGACAGCUGGCAGCGGUUUCUGGGAUGCCAGUUCUCAGGCCAUGGGGCCUGUGGCUCUCUGCUUGAGGCGAUGCUUAAUGAAAGUCCCCAGGGCUACCAGGGGGAUGCACAUGAUGGAGGCGGCCACGAGCAGCCCAAUGAUGGCCAGUGCAUAGGGCGGGUAAUCCUUGGUCACAAGCUGGCCCUGAGGAAAGAAGCCAAGUGUCAGAAGAGAGCCUCCCAUGCAGACCCUUCUGAGGGUGCCACCCAUCCAGGCCUCAGGCCCUUAAGCAGGAGAAGCAGUGCCUAUGAGGCACCCUAGCUCUGCAUGCAGCUCAGCAGUGAGGCUGCCGGGCAGGCCGACACCCCCAUCUGCUUUCUCCUCCAUGAACUUCAACGAACCUGCAUACUGUUUGAAGCUACCUGUAAAGUGCAGUCACAAGAAUAAUCAAAGGCUUAUUGUGUUCAAGACCAAAUGUAGGGGACACCUUUGCCCAGUGCUGCCCAACGGAACUGUGAUGAGAGAAAUUCUGUCCAAUACGGCAGCCAGAAAACACAGGUAGCCAUUGGGCACUGGGAAUCUGGACAGUGAUACUAAAAAACAAAUUCAUUAAAAUUAAAUACAAUUUUAAAUAGCCACAUGUGGGGAUUAGCUCCUCUAUCCAGCAACAUAUCUCUCAUCUCAGUAAAGUUUUGACAGACCUCAGGACUUAGGGAAACAGCCAUUAUUUUAUCAACCAACCAUGAAAGUGAUGAGAAGCUAAGGCCCCAAAGCCAAUAAAUGCCACCUUUGUGCAAAGGAGCCAGGCCACAGCUAAGUCCAGAGAGCAUGGGCUUGCUGUCAGCCAAAGUGCAGUUUAUAAAGCAAAAUGCCAUGCAGCCGUGUGGCUCAGGCGCCACCCCACAGACUUCGUGGUGCUCAUCUGUUACUCUGUAUCCUUUGUGCUAAGUACAAAAUUGGGAGGAAAUGUUUAGAAACAAUUCGCCCAAUUUGACAGCACAAUCUUCUGUAGGCUGGAUCUAAUAACUGUUCAGCGUGUGUAUUUGAUAUUGCUUUAAGUAAUUCAUAGUUUCCCUCAUUUCCUACACCUUCAUACAUUCCUACAUCUCAUACAUUUCCUACACACAUCAGCCUGCCAUGGAUUGGAGGAGACACCCUGAGCCUCUGCGUUGUGGGGAUUGGAGCACAAAGCCCCUCCCUACCACCCCAUCUACAUGAUCUGCACACACCAUAUGCUAAAGGGCAGCCUCAUCUUCUCACAGGAGCAGAAAUCCAAAGUGGCCAAUGGAAUUACUCUCCUUGCUCAGUACAUCUUUACUGUGAAAGUUUGUCUGGGCAGAUAGCCAGGGCUGUCCCUCAGGCCACAUGCACCACUGUUAGCAUCAGUCAUUGGUUGGCAAGCAGAUGCUCCCAAGAUCCAGCAAUUGGGGUGUUAACUACUCACUGCCCCACCCAGCUGCUCUGUGCCUUGGGGGGGGGCCUUGCCUUCCAGUCCCCCAGGAAGUUCUGUAGGGAAUCUUACUCUCUUCCCUGCAGCACAUGGUGAAAAACUCAGCGCCAUACUCUGCCAGCCUGGCCAAGUGGUUCACAGUACCUGGAUGGUGAUUCCACAUUGUGAGAAAUAACCUUCCACACCCUGGCGAGAGUUCCUUACUUUCAAAAGAGUAGAGGUCUGUGCUCAUGAGCGAGCCUGGGCCCCAAGAAGGCAGGUACCUGGGAGGCGUCCCAGGCCUGGUACUGCAGGGUCCCCGUGAUGAUGUAGUCACUCAGGUAGAAGAGCAAGAGGCUGAUGAUGAUCAGCGGGCUCACGCCAGCCCACAUGAUCUUCCAAUACCAGUUCAGAGUGUGUCCCAUCAUGGCCUUGAGGUCGUUUUCAAAUCUGGAGAGUGGGGAGAAAAAAACCUGGAUUAUCCGUGCCAUUGGUGUCAGGGGGUCCUGUCUGCUUAGGAAGAUUCUGUGCUGGGUACCACUGAAGUUUGAACAUGACCACUGGGCCCUCUGAUUCCUUCUGGGAAGAGAGCUGCUGAAGCCACUAAAGAGCAGUGGACGUCAGAGGACAUACUCCUGGUGCUGACCUUCAGCUGGAGGCUGCUGGUGUGGAAGAGAGGGCAUGCAGGACACCUAGGAAGCCAGCUCUCCAUUGCAGGAGCUCCUGAGGGUGGCCCAGCCCAUCCCUCCCAUGCUGCUUUGUAGCAGAAAUUCUCCUGCUCACUAGAAAUGCCUGAAACCAGGGCAUCUUUUCUGGGGCGAAAGGAGGGCCAAAGCUGUGACUGUGGAGACGACUUGGCCUGUUGGACCUGAUGUGUAGCAAUGCUUCCAAACUGUAGGUGCCUACAGACCAUCAUUCUGAUUUCCAUCAUGCCUGCAGACAGAUGCUUUCAGAAAACAGAUCCUUCCUACACUGUUGCUAGGAAUGUAAUUUGGGGCAGCUGCGAUGGAAAACAGGACAGAGGGUCCUGAAAAGACAAACACUAGAGCUGCCCCAUGAUCCAGCGGUCCCACAUGUGGGCAUAGAGCGGGACAAAACUAUCGAUCCAAACCGCACAGGCCCCCCCACCCCCACGCCCAGGUCCAGAGCAGCACAAGUCACAACAGCCCGGGUGUGGAAGCAAGCUCGGUGUCCGUCCACAGAUGCAUGGAUCAAGAAGACCUGCUCCUUAGGUCCAAGAGACUGGGGCUCAGCCAUAAAAAGGAAGGAAACAGUGCCAUUGGCAGCAACGUUGAUCGACCUAGAAAUUAGCAUACCAAGUGAAGCACGCCAGCAGAGCAAGACAAAUACCAGAGGCUAUCCUUCCCGGGUGGAAGCACCAAAGAAGACAGACAACUGAACUUAUUUACACAAUAGAAACAGAUGCACAAACCAUGGCGACCAAACGGGAAAGGGGUGGAGGGCGAUAAACUGGGAGGUUGCCAUGAACUCAUAUGCACCACUAGAGGUACUCAACAAGGGCCUACUGUAUGGCAUGGGGGAUGCUUUUCAGUGUGUUGGAAGAGCCUCUAUGGGAAGGGAAAGGAAUCCCAAAGAGAUUUUGUAUGUGUGUGUGACUAUAUAUAUUUACAUGUGUAUGUAUGUGGAUGUGUGUGUGUGUGUGUGUGUAUAAUACAAUUGAAUCUCUUGUGCUGUAACCUGAAACUCACCUGACAUUGUAAAUCAACAAGACGUCAAUAAAGAAUUAACAAAUCAAUCAA